GUUCACCCGGCUUGUGGGCACCACCUCCUGGCAGCCUUCCCUUCGAGUCCAGGUCGGGUGGAUACGCUCCCCGGGGACUCCAGGGCCGAGGGGAUUACAGCCACCUACUCCGUUCUCCAGCGCCAGCGUCUUAAGGUCAUUAGAUUCCACUAUUUGGUAACAGUAACUGUGGACUGUAGGAUGGCCAAUGAGAAAGAGAAAAGAGAAGGUGCUAUUUAUUUAUCAGAAUACAUAAACUGAUGCUUGAGAGUGGUGCUAAUGUCAAGUACAUAUGGUGACACUGAAACGUCAGUUGCCUUCAUAACCUGGACCAGAUCCAGCGUGAAGAUUUAGCCCUUCACCUUUCCAUCCCCAGGUGCUGGCUUGGCCCAGUAUCCAGACCCAAAGCUCUGCAUGAGGGAUUGGCACCCCGAUUCCCAAGUUUUACCUUCCCGAGAGAUGGCAAAGGAAGAUGGAAGUUUCUUCAACCUGCAGCUCACUUUUGAAGAUUCUGUGGGAUGGAUUAAGUGAACAUCAGACCACAGCAAGCCCUCCGAGAGGACUUCAUGCAGAGUUUGGGCUGAGGUGGUGAGGAGGGGUGUGGGAUGGUACCAACAUUACGGGUGAAGGCUUCCCUUACCUAUCGCUUUUUAUAUAAGCAUGCCAGCAAUAGAGUCGUCCUGGAAUAUGGUGCCCGGAAGAUCAAUUAAUCUCUUUUCAGUGAACUUGGAUACUUCCUUCUACUAAGAAACCCGUGUCAGCUCACAGAAAGCUGGUUGGAAUGCACAGCUGUAGCAACUAAUUAAACUCAGAUGCCCGCCUCUUAAUUGUUUUUGAUCUUUUUUUUUUUUUUUUACCUUGAAUUUCCA
rnacentral:lncRNA from 1 species